AGAGAAACAAGAACUGUUGAUUUCUUCUGACUGUCAAUAUGGGAAUGAGAGAAAAGAACGCUCGGAAAAAAAUAAUCAGAGAAAAAGAUUGCUUUUUUUCCCCUCAUCUGUGGCAUUCUGUAAUGAUUCCAGCACACUCUAUGCUCUUACUGUGAGGCUGGCUGGUUGGCAGGCAUUAAGGAAUCUGAGUGGCUUCAGUGCAGAGAUGCAAAGAGUUCUAAAGGACUUUUCCCGGAGAACUUCACACGCCAUCUGGAACAGCUCUUCUCACAGGCACAGAAUGUGGCAUGAAGCUCAGUCAGUAGGUUUUUAACCUCUUUGUAACACGGGAGUCCACUUUUUGUAGUUCAGGCUGCUAAUGGUUUGCGGAUUGGUGCCGGACAAAGCUUGUUGAAGCAUAUCAAGGUGAGCAUGAGUGCAAACAGUUCAGCUAGCAAUUUCUGAAGCAGUGCGUGAAAAAAAAAAAGAAAUAAAACCAGAAAUGUCCUUAUUUGUUCACAUGUACGUGGCACCAGGUUUGUUUUGCUUUGUCAGAGCUGUGGUGAUCCUGUGUUUGGUCCUUUCCCAUGAAAUCCCAAAUUAGGCUCCUGGGUACCAAAACCUGAACUUCUCUGCACUGAGUGUAUUGGAUUGAGUUGCACUGCAUAAAAUUUAAUGAAUAAUCCUGUAGUAAAGAGGGCAAACUAUCCUAAUUUUCACGCGUUUAAAAAAUGUAAUUAACUGCUGCAACGUUUUUCAGAGUUACUUUUGGACACGCAUGAUAUCUAUGCACAGGAAGUUGAAUGUGUAUCUCUAAGUGCAUGUGGGUAUGUAUGCAUUUUAACAAUUUCACUGCAGUUCUUUGACUGUGUGGUGCCAUCAGGGCAUGCAUUGCUCUCUCACUGUCUGGCGUUACAGGAAACAUUUUGUCCCAAAGCAAAACUGGCUGCCAUUGCCAAAGCACUGAACAGUGUCCAUGUUAGCAAUGUGACAUUUUCGUUCUGAGAUGAUGAAUAACAUCGUUUUCAAAGCUGCUAAACCUUUGAGAAGGCAUGGCUCAGUUUCCUCUUCCAGCUGCAGUAGUUACAGUGAGAUCGUCUGGAAGGGGAACUGUUAUGAUGCUCAUCUGUACUUUUUUAUUUAAUUGGCUGAAUUAAAAAAAAAAAAACACAACAAAAUUAAUCUCUGA